rnacentral:lncRNA from 1 species
AUUUAACUCUAAAAAUAUUUUAAAAAUUUAAAGUCUAAAUAUAAAAAUAUAUAUUGUUUUAAUAUUAUAGGCUAAUAAACAGAUUCAAUAGCCAAGUUGGGCCAGCUGAAUUCGAUAUAUUCUCUCCUACUUGAUUAAAAACAAUCCAGUCCUUCCACGGUCAUUGCUGGGAUCGACCUCAUACCAGUUGAUUUCUUGAAGCUGAUAUGUUUGGACUUACGGAUACU